UUUUUGCUUUUCGCCGCGAUGUUUUCGCGCUUGAGAACCCGAAGCCGAGGACCGCGCCGAAUCGACGCUCGCACGGGCGCCGACGCGCGUCGAUCGGCGCGGCGCGAUCGCGCAAUCGCGCGAACGCGCGUCGACGCGCGUUCGUCGACCCCGCGAUCGCGCGAACGGACGCGCGCGCGCGCGAACGCGCGCCAUUCCCGACGCUCGCGCGUCGUUAAC
rnacentral:lncRNA from 1 species